rnacentral:rRNA from 1 species
AUGGUAGAGCGUUUUCGGGGAGAAGAAGUAAUCUACCAUAGCUUUGACAGUGCAGAAGACGACCCGUAUGGCUACUAUGCUCCCGAGUUCCUAAAUGGAUUGACUCCCAACGGUCUGCCUCCGCAUGCACUCAAACUGAAGCUCAACUGCCCUGUCAUACUUCUGAGGAACAUUGAUCCGGCUAAUGGUCUGUGUAACGGGACGAGGCUUGUGGUGCGAGGUUUCGAGAGGAACGCCAUCGACGCAGAAAUAGUGAUCGGACAACACGCAGGUAGGAGGGUAUUCCUUCCUCGAAUACCCAUAUGCCCGUCUGACAACGACAUGUUUCCAUUCAAGUUCAAGAGGAAGCAAUUUCCUGUAAGGCUUAGCUUUGCUAUGACGAUUAACAAGGCUCAAGGACAGACGAUUCCGAUUGUUGGCGUGUACCUACCUAAUCCGGUGUUCUCUCAUGGUCAACUCUAUGUCGCAUUGUCUCGAGCCACCGCAAAGAAAAAUAUAAAGAUCCUCAUUGAGAAGGAGAAGGAGAAGGAGAAUGCCAAGAAGCAAAGCGGUAAAUCUAAGAAGCGAAAAAGACCUACCUCGAUGAAGAACAUCGUCUAUAUGGAAGUCCUUACAGGCUAA